rnacentral:sRNA from 1 species
AGCUGACAUCAUGCCUGGGGGAUACAGACUGUGGGAUGAACCAUAAAGAAACAGUUGCUCUCAUGCAUCCACACACCACAGCACUGGGAGAUGCCCACAGUGCUUUAAAAGUUGGGUCCUUCAAAUCCAGACAGACAGCAUCAGAAGGGGCCAGCAGUGAAAGAAAUUCAGACAUUGGUUAUAAAUCAGUCCUGUCAACAUGACAGGAUGGCAGGCUGUCAGUACUGACAAGUUGUUUGUAAAUAGGACUACCAGAGCUGUGAUAUGUACAGACCUUAUAUGUGUUUCUACAAUUUGUUUGGAUGGUUGGGUCACUGUGUUUGCGACAAGGAAAAGUUUGAAAUGUUUUUGUAACAUGACACAUGCCCCCCUGACUUUGUCAUGUCAUGAAUAGUGAAAAUAUAAAAGUGACUGACCGAGUGUCACUCUUGAAGUUCAUUUGUUACGCUACUAAGCAUAAUGCAUGCAUUUAUGUACUUUUGAUAAUCCAUUCAUACAUGUAUUUAUAAGAUGGACUGGAAUAGCCACAGGAAUCAGGUCCAUAGCUUAACCUGACAUCAUGUUUGUGUACUACAUACAUAAAGGUGAACAAAUUAUAGGGCCCACAUAUCAUAUGGAAGUAUCUCAUUAAGACUAAAUUUCAUUCACAAGUGAACCUAUAUUUCUUUCAUACAUAUUGCUUCAUUUAGUAUGUAUCAGGGGCCUACAUUUCAAUACAGAAGCAUAUUUAUUUAGGACCAACAUCUCGUACAGAAAUGUAUCUAUAUAGAACUUUCAUUCAUAAGUGAACCUCUUGUGUAGGUGUUCCUCUAUGCAAUAGCAUAUAUCUCAAGAAGUGUACCCAAAUAGGUCCUACAUCUCAUAGUAAAGUGUCUCUCUAUAGAUCAGUAUUUCUUAACCUGUUGGGCAUUGUGAUGUGCUGACUAGUAAGCUAUGGUCGUUUUUAUCAAGGGACAAAAAUUUUGUAUUCUGGCUCUAAAUCAUAUUUAAAUAUUGAUCAAGUAAAAAUGAUUACCAGUUCAAUAUUCAAAUAAUGAUACAUCAUUUCAUAUUCUAAGUAGGGCCUUUCAUACCAUUUUCACAACAUCAUCAACCAGAAACAUUCUUUCGAAGAAAUUUCUAUACAUCUCUGCUUAAAGUUAUUCUUCCACCCCUCAUUCAGAAUGCACAACCAAAACUAGCCCAGUACAAAACAUCUUGCUGGACAAGGAAGGUGAUCUUACUUGAUCAAAUCCAUUACAACUAUAUAUACACUUCAAUAUCAGC